rnacentral:rRNA from 1 species
UACGGGGGGGGCAAGCGUUGUUCGGAAUUACUGGGCGUAAAGGGCUCGUAGGUGGCUAACUAAGUCGGUCGUGAAAUCCCUCAGCUUAACUGGGGAACUGCGUCCGAUACUGGAUGGCUUGAGUUUGGGAGAGGGAUGCGGAAUUCCAGGUGUAGCGGUGAAAUGCGUAGAUAUCUGGAGGAGCACCGGUGGCGAAGGCGGCAUCCUGGACCAACACUGACACUGAGGAGCGAAAGCCAGGGGAGCAAACGGG